rnacentral:misc_RNA from 1 species
GAAUUGGAAAAUGCACAUAUCUAUCAGAAUCACAAUUAAGCAUCAGUUAGUGUUUCAGGAUUGAGAUAAUCAAAUUUCUAGAUUAAUUUAAUAACUGAAGGUCAUAUACUCCCUGCAUAUGGGGUGUUAUCGACUAAUUCUAAACUUGAGAACUUGGAAUAAUCAAGCGUGAACAGAAAUUUGAGUAACCAAAGCAUCACAACUAUUGACAUAAGCCAUAAACUGAGGUAAAGUAAAAAAUUUUAAUGCAAUCUUCUUAAGCAUGAAUGAAUGUUCCUAUCUAGAUUAAUAGGGAUCAGAACCCCGAUUGGUCACCCAUUUAAACAAACAAAUACAGAAAAAAUAAUUCAAUUAGCUCAACCCAGGAUCCGGAAUAUAAAUAUUUUGUUGUGUCCAACUAAUAAUUUUGUUCCAGAACCAUAAUGAAGUCUAACAAAGACUAUGAUACUAACCAUCUGUUACAGU